GACAGAGGGUGCAAGCGUUGUUCGGAAUUACUGGGCGUAAAGCGCGUGUAGGCGGCAAGGCAAGUCGGAUGUGAAAGCCCACGGCUCAACCGUGGAAGUGCACCCGAAACUGCCUAGCUAGAGUCUCGGAGAGGAAGGUGGAAUGCUUGGUGUAGAGGUGAAAUUCGUAGAUAUCAAGCGGAACACCGGUGGCGAAGGCGGCCUUCUGGACGAUGACUGACGCUGAGACGCGAAAGCGUGGGGAGCAAACAGG
rnacentral:rRNA from 1 species